UCCUCGAUGGUCUAACGGUCAUGAUUUCCGCUUGUCACUCCUAUGAGAACGAGCGCGGGAGACCAGGGUUCGACUCCCUGUCGGGGAG
rnacentral:tRNA from 2 species